AUUGAACGCUGGCGGCAGGCCUAACACAUGCAAGUCGAGCGGAAACGACAUCUUCGGAUGGGCGUCGAGCGGCGGACGGGUGAGUAAUGCGUAGAUAUCUGCCUUUUAGUGGAGGAUAACCUGGGGAAACUCAGGCUAAUACUGCAUAAUCUCUACGGAGCAAAGCGGGGCUCUCUACCCUCGCGCUAUUAGAUGAGUCUACGUCUGAUUAGCUAGUUGGUGCGGUAACGGCGUACCAAGGCGACGAUCAGUAGCUGGUCUGAGAGGAUGAUCAGCCACACCGGGACUGAGACACGGCCCGGACUCCUACGGGAGGCAGCAGUGGGGAAUAUUGGACAAUGGGCGAAAGCCUGAUCCAGCCAUGCCGCGUGUGUGAAGAAGGCCUUAGGGUUGUAAAGCACUUUAAGCAGGAAAGAAAAGCGCCGGGUUAAUACCCCGAGCGUAUUGACGGUACCUGCAGAAUAAGCACCGGCUAACUCCGUG
rnacentral:rRNA from 1 species